ACUCCUACGGAAGGCAGCAGUGGGGAAUUUUGGACAAUGGGCGCAAGCCUGAUCCAGCCAUGCCGCGUGAGUGAAGAAGGCCUUCGGGUUGUAAAGCUCUUUCGGCCGGGAAGGAAAUCGUGGUCUCUAACAUAGGCCAUGGAUGACGGUACCGGACUAAGAAGCACCGGCUAACUACGUGCCAGCAGCCGCGGUAAU
rnacentral:rRNA from 1 species